rnacentral:rRNA from 1 species
UACGUAGGGGGCUAGCGUUGUCCGGAUUUAUUGGGCGUAAAGAGCGUGUAGGCGGCCAGGUAGGUCUGCUGUGAAAACUCGAGGCUCAACCUCGAGACGUCGGCGGAAACCAUCUGGCUAGAGUCCGGAAGAGGAGAGUGGAAUUCCUGGUGUAGCGGUGAAAUGCGCAGAUAUCCGGAGGAACACCGGUGGCGAAGGCGGCUUCCUGGACCGACACUGACGCUGAGGCGCGAAAGCUAGGGGAGCAAACGGG